AUUGAACGCUGGCGGCAGGCCUAACACAUGCAAGUCGAACGCGUUGCGGACGGGUGAGUAAUGUCUGGGAAACUGCCUGAUGGAGGGGGAUAACUACUGGAAACGGUAGCUAAUACCGCAUACCAUCGGAUGUGCCCAGAUGGGAUUAGCUAGUAGGUGGGGUAACGGCUCACCUAGGCGACGAUCCCUAGCUGGUCUGAGAGGAUGACCAGCCACACUGGAACUGAGACACGGCCCAGACUCCUACGGGAGGCAGCAGUGGGGAAUAUUGCACAAUGGGCGAAAGCCUGAUAGAGCAAUGCCGCGUGUAUGAAGAAGGCCUUCGGGUUGUAAAGUACUGUCAGCGGGGAGGCGGUAACCGCAGAAGAAGCACCGGCUAACUACGUGCCAGCAGCCGCGGUAAUUC
rnacentral:rRNA from 1 species